GGCCGCGGGACGCGAAGAUCCUCGGACCGGACGCCGGUCGCCGCCUGUGGUACCCACGGGGAGGUCCGAGGGGAGCGAGUGGCGAGACCGACCCGAACCGCC
ncrna:unclassified sequences c-di-GMP-II-GAG riboswitch